rnacentral:tRNA from 1 species
GUUGUUGUGGCCGAGAGGUUAAGGCGAUGGACUCUGAAAUCCAUUGGGGUCUCCCCGCGCAGGUUCGAGUCCUGCCAGCAACA